rnacentral:rRNA from 1 species
AAGUCGUAACAAGGUUUCCGUAGGUGAACCUGCGGAAGGAUCAUUAGUGAACGCCCUCACGGGCUUAUAACUAUUCCAAACCUCUGUGAACCGUGCCCUUCGGGGCUAUUUUACAAACAUGGUGUAAUGAACGUCAUAUAUCAUAACAAAACAAAACUUUCAACAACGGAUCUCUUGGCUCUCGCAUCGAUGAAGAACGCAGCGAAAUGCGAUAAGUAAUGUGAAUUGCAGAAUUCAGUGAAUCAUCGAAUCUUUGAACGCACCUUGCGCUCCUUGGUAUUCCGAGGAGCAUGCCUGUUUGAGUGUCAUUAAUAUAUCAACCUCUUCAGCUUUUGCAUGUUGAGUGUUGGAUGUGGGGGUAUUUUUGCUGGACUCUUUCCGAGGUCAGCUCCCCUAAAAUGCAUUAGCAAAACAAUUUGUUUACUGCUCAUUGGUGUAAUAACUAUCUACGCUAUUGACAGUCAAGCAGGUUUAGCUUCUAACAGUCCAUUAACUUGGACAAACCUUUUUAUUAAUGUGACCUCAAAUCAGGUAGGAUUACCCGCUGAACUUAA